AAGGCAAAUCGGUUUAUCGCUGUUCGUCAGAUGACGAAGAGAGGAAAGUCCGGGCAACGUAGAGCGGCGUACUUCCUAACGGGAAGGUAUUGCUCCGAUUCUGUCGGAGUGGUAACAGAAAGUGCAGCAGAAAAUAAGUAGCCUUCGGGUCAUAGUGAAAAGGUGAGGUAAGAGCUCACCGUGCAGGCAGUGAUGUACUGUAGCUAGGCAAACCUUACGCGUUGAAAGGCCAUGUAUACCGGGGAUUCACGUUCACCUUGUGUGGAUGUGUAAAAGGGUUGCUCGCCCGAUCCCGGAGGGUAGGCUGAUGGAUCCCGAUUGUGAAGUCGGGGCUAGAUAAAUGAUAAACAUCUGGUGGAAACACCGGAACAGAACCCGGCUUAUAGAUUUGCCUUUUCU
rnacentral:RNase_P_RNA from 2 species